rnacentral:rRNA from 1 species
UACGUAGGUGGCGAGCGUUAUCCGGAUUUACUGGGUGUAAAGGGCGUGUAGGCGGUUUUGUAAGUCGGAUGUGAAAUUCCCAGGCUUAACCUGGGCGCUGCAUCCGAAACUACAAAACUUGAGUACUGGAGAGGAUAGUGGAAUUCCUAGUGUAGCGGUAAAAUGCGUAGAUAUUAGGAGGAACAUCAGUGGCGAAGGCGACUAUCUGGACAGUAACUGACGCUGAGGCGCGAAAGCGUGGGGAGCAAACAGGAUUAGAUACCCUGGUAGUCCACGCCGUAAACGAUGGAUACUAGGUGUAGGGGGUAUCGACCCCCCCUGUGCCGGAGUUAACACAAUAAGUAUCCCACCUGGGGAGUACGGCCGCAAGGUUGAA